AAAGUGGAAUUUCCUAGUGUUAGCGGGGGAAAUGCCGUAGAUAUUUUGAGGGAACCCCCCGUGGGGAAGGGGGAAUUUACUGGUUUGUUAAUUGAGGCUUGGGGUUGGAAAGCGUGGGGUAGCAAACCAGAAUUUAAAUACCCUGUAGUUCCACCCGGUAAACGAUGAGGGUUAAGGGUUAGGGGGUUUCCCGCCCCUUAGUGCUGGAGUUAAAGGCAUUAAGCAUUCGCCCUGGGAGUACGGGCCGCAAGGUGGAAACUCAAAGGAAUUGACGGGGACCCGCACAAGCGUGGGAGCAUGUGGUUUUAAUUCGACGCAACGCGAAGAACCCUACCCAGCUCUUGACAUUUUCUGUUCACCCUAGAGAUAGGGCUUCNCCCUCCGGGGGCAGAAAGACAGGUGGUGCAUGGUUGUCGUCAGCUCGUGUCGUGAGAUGUUGGGUUAAGUCCCAUAACGAGCGCAACCCUUAUUGUUAGUUGCCAGCAUUCAGUUGGGCACUCUAGCGAGACUGCCGGUGAUAAACCGGAGGAAGGUGGGGAUGACGUCAAAUCAUCAUGCCCCUUAUGACCUGGGCUACACACGUGCUACAAUGGAUGGUACAACGGGUUGCCAACCCGCGAGGGGGAGCUAAUCCUUUAAAACCAUUCCCAGUUCGGAUUGUAGGCUGCAACUCGCCUGCAUGAAGCCGGAAUCGCUAGUAAUCGUGGAUCAGCAUGCCACGGUGAAUACGUUCCCGGGUCUUGUACACACCGCCCGUCA
rnacentral:rRNA from 1 species